rnacentral:rRNA from 1 species
AUGAACGCUAGCUACAGGCUUAACACAUGCAAGUCGAGGGGCAGCAUGGUCUUAGCUUGCUAAGGCCGAUGGCGACCGGCGCACGGGUGAGUAACGCGUAUCCAACCUGCCUUACACUCUUGGACAGCCUUCUGAAAGGGAGAUUAAUACAAGAUGUUAUCAUGAGUAAGCAUUUUCGCAUGAUUAAAGGUUUACCGGUGUAAGAUGGGGAUGCGUUCCAUUAGAUAGUAGGCGGGGUAACGGCCCACCUAGUCUUCGAUGGAUAGGGGUUCUGAGAGGAAGGUCCCCCACAUUGGAACUGAGACACGGUCCAAACUCCUACGGGAGGCAGCAGUGAGGAAUACUGGUCAAUGGACGAGAGUCUGAACCAGCCAAGUAGCGUGAAGGAUGAAGGUUCUAUGGAUUGUAAACUUCUUUUAUACGGGAAUAAACGAAUCCACGCGUGGAUUUUUGCAUGUACCGUAUGAAUAAGGAUCGGCUAACUCCGUGCCAGCAGCCGCGGUAAUACGGAGGAUCCGAGCGUUAUCCGGAUUUAUUGGGUUUAAAGGGAGCGUAGAUGGGUUGUUAAGUCAGUUGUGAAAGUUUGCGGCUCAACCGUAAAAUUGCAAUUGAUACUGGCAGUCUUGAGUACAGUUGAGGUAGGCGGAAUUCGUGGUGUAGCGGUGAAAUGCUUAGAUAUCACGAAGAACUCCGAUUGCGAAGGCAGCUUACUAACCUGUAACUGACAUUGAUGCUCGAAAGUGUGGGUAUCAAACAGGAUUAGAUACCCUGGUAGUCCACACGGUAAACGAUGAAUACUCGCUGUAGGCGAUAUACAGUCUGCGGCCAAGCGAAAGCAUUAAGUAUUCCACCUGGGGAGUACGCCGGCAACGGUGAAACUCAAAGGAAUUGACGGGGGCCCGCACAAGCGGAGGAACAUGUGGUUUAAUUCGAUGAUACGCGAGGAACCUUACCCGGGCUUAAAUUGCAACCGAAUAUGGCGGAAACGCUAUAGCUAGCAAUAGCGGUUGUGAAGGUGCUGCAUGGUUGUCGUCAGCUCGUGCCGUGAGGUGUCGGCUUAAGUGCCAUAACGAGCGCAACCCUUGCCGAUAGUUACUAACAGGUUAUGCUGAGGACUCUGUCGGGACUGCCAUCGUAAGAUGUGAGGAAGGUGGGGAUGACGUCAAAUCAGCACGGCCCUUACGUCCGGGGCUACACACGUGUUACAAUGGGGGGUACAGAGGGCUGCUACCACGCAAGUGGAUGCCAAUCCCAAAAACCUCUCUCAGUUCGGAUUGAAGUCUGCAACCCGACUUCAUGAAGCUGGAUUCGCUAGUAAUCGCGCAUCAGCCACGGCGCGGUGAAUACGUUCCCGGGCCUUGUACACACCGCCCGUCAAGCCAUGGGAGCCGGGGGUACCUGAAGUGCGUAACCGCAAGGAGCGCCCUAGGGUAAAACUGGUGACUGGGGCU